GUCUCUGUAGCUCAGUUGGUCAGAGCGCUCCACUGGAAUUGCUGAGGGCCGCAGGUUCAAUUCCUGCCAGGGACC